GACGAACGCUGGCGGCAGGCCUAACACAUGCAAGUCGAGCGGAUGACGGGAGCUUGCUCCUUGAUUCAGCGGCGGACGGGUGAGUAAUGCCUAGGAAUCUGCCUGGUAGUGGGGGACAACGUUUCGAAAGGAACGCUAAUACAGCAUACGUCCUACGGGAGAAAGCAGGGGACCUUCGGGCCUCGCGCUAUCAGAUGAGCCUAGGUCGGAUUAGCUAGUUGGUGAGGCAAUGGCUCACCAAGGCGACGAUCCGUAACUGGUCUGAGAGGAUGAUCAGUCACACUGGAACUGAGACACGGUCCAGACUCCUACGGGAGGCAGCAGUGGGGAAUAUUGGACAAUGGGCGAAAGCCUGAUCCAGCCAUGCCGCGUGUGUGAAGAAGGUCUUCGGAUUGUAAAGCACUUUAAGUUGGGAGGAAGGGCAGUAAGUUAAUACCUUGCUGUUUUGACGUUACCGACAGAAUAAGCACCGGCUAACUCUGUGCCAGCCGCCGCCGUAAUAC
rnacentral:rRNA from 1 species